AAUAAUAAACCAGUGGGACAUGAAGCAGUCAACCUCCUAGAAUCGAAAACGUAAAUGUAUAAGAAAAAAAAACAAAACAAACAUCAUCAUUUCCAAAGACAAAAAAAAAAGGAGAAAAAAAAUCAUUAAUUUACCCUGACGAAGACCAGAGACGAACACAUUCGUCCCAAGAGCCAGUUGCCAACAUUGUUCCAUCAGAAGUUAAAGCUAAAGAGCUAAUUCGAUUUUCAUGGCCUGUUAAUGAUGUGAUGGUUUUGCUUGAGAUGGAAUCCCAAACCUCGCAUGUUUUAUCUUUUGCGAUAAAAAGAAGUUUUCCAGACUUGGAAAAUAAGACUGAAUUAAUGGGGGAGGAUGAUGGAGAUGAAUACUGGAAUAUCUCAGCAGAAGCACGAAUGUCAAAGCACCGAGCGAUACCAUCCUCUGCACCCGUAACAAAAUCAGCGUUAGAAGGAAAAAAGGAAAUGGAAUUAAUAUCCGAUGUAUUUCCGGGAAAUGUGGCACAACAAUAAGCA